UUAUGUUGUUUAAUUCGAACGCAACGCGAAGAACCUUACCAGGCCUUGACAUACUCAGCAAAACCCUAGAGAGUAGGGUGGAGGUUAUCUGGGAUACAGGUGGUGCAUGGUUGUCGUCAGCUCGUGUCGUGAGAUGUUGGGUUAAGUCCCGCAACGAGCGCAACCCUUGUCUUUAGUUACCAUCAUUCAGUUGGGGACUCUAGAGAGACUGCCGGUGAUAAACCGGAGGAAGUGGGGAUGACGUCAAAUCAUCAUGCCCCUUAUGGCCUGGGCUACAAACGUAAUACAAUGGCGUAUACAAAGGGAUGCGAAAGGGCGACCUGGAGCAAAACUCACAAAGUACGUCUCAGUUCAGAUUGGAGUCUGCAACUCGACUCCAUGAAGGCGGAAUCGCUAGUAAUCGCGGAUCAGCAUGCCGCGGUGAAUACGUUCUCGGGGUUU
rnacentral:rRNA from 1 species